rnacentral:misc_RNA from 1 species
GAUGAAGAACGUAGCGAAAUGCGAUACGUAAUGUGAAUUGCAAAUUCAGUGAAUCAUCGAGUCUUUGAACGCACAUUGCGCCCCCUGGUAUUCCGGGGGGCAUGCCUGUCCGAGCGUCAUUGCUGCCCUCAAGCACGGCUUGUGUGUUGGGCCCCGUCCUCCGAUCCCGGGGGACGGGCCCGAAAGGCAGCGGCGGCACCGCGUCCGGUCCUCGAGCGUAUGGGGCUUUGUCACCCGCUCUGUAGGUCCGGCCGGCGCUUGCCGAUCAACCCAAAUUUUUAUCCAGGUUGACCUCGGAUCAGGUAGGGAUACCCGCUGAACUUAAGCAUAUCAAUAAGCGGAGGA